UGGGGAAUAUUGGACAAUGGGCGAAAGCCUGAUCCAGCCAUGCCGCGUGUGUGAAGAAGGCCUUAUGGUUGUAAAGCACUUUAAGCGAGGAGGAGGGUACUGGUAUUAAUACUACCAGGUACUGGACGUUACUCGCAGAAUAAGCACCGGCUAACUCUGUGCCAGCAGCCGCGGUAAUACAGAGGGUGCGAGCGUUAAUCGGAUUUACUGGGCGUAAAGCGUGCGUAGGCGGCUAAUUGAGUCGGAUGUGAAAUCCCCGAGCUUAACUUGGGAAUUGCAGUCGAUACUGGUUAGCUAGAGUGUGGGAGAGGAUGGUAGAAUUCCAGGUGUAGCGGUGAAAUGCGUAGAGAUCUGGAGGAAUACCGAUGGCGAAGGCAGCCAUCUGGCCUAACACUGACGCUGAGGUACGAAAGCAUGGGGAGCAAACAGG
rnacentral:rRNA from 1 species